UACGAAGGGGGCUAGCGUUGUUCGGAAUUACUGGGCGUAAAGCGCACGUAGGCGGAUCGAUCAGUCAGGGGUGAAAUCCCAGAGCUCAACUCUGGAACUGCCUUUGAUACUGUCGAUCUAGAGUAUGGAAGAGGUGAGUGGAAUUCCGAGUGUAGAGGUGAAAUUCGUAGAUAUUCGGAGGAACACCAGUGGCGAAGGCGGCAUCCUGGACCAUUACUGACGCUGAGGCGCGAAAGCUAGGGGAGCAAACGGG
rnacentral:rRNA from 1 species